rnacentral:rRNA from 1 species
AUGUGUGCAUCAAUUCUUACCCUGUUUGGGGAGGCAUCGGGCCUCCGCGUCAACCUUGCCAAGAGCGCGGUCUACCCUAUACGAUGCUCUGACGAGAUCAUGGAAUCAGUGGAGAGAGCACUUGGAUGCCUGAGAGGCGCCUUCCCAUGCAAAUACCUUGGUCUGCCGCUCACCCUGAGAAAACAGUCACAUGUACAGCUAUCAGGCCUUGUGGACCAACUAGCAACGGCAUUGCCAAAAUGGAAAGCA